rnacentral:rRNA from 1 species
GGGCGUAAGCGUGCGUAGGCGGCCAAUUAAGUCAAAUGUGAAAUCCCCGAGCUUAACUUGGGAAUUGCAUUCGAUACUGGUUGGCUAGAGUAUGGGAGAGGAUGGUAGAAUUCCAGGUGUAGCGGUGAAAUGCGUAGAGAUCUGGAGGAAUACCGAUGGCGAAGGCAGCCAUCUGGCCUAAUACUGACGCUGAGGUACGAAAGCAUGGGGAGCAAACAGGAUUAGAUACCCUGGUAGUCCAUGCCGUAAACGAUGUCUACUAGCCGUUGGGGCCCUUGAGGCUUUAGUGGCGCAGCUAACGCGAUAAGUAGACCGCCUGGGGAGUACGGUCGCAAGACUAAAACUCAAAUGAAUUGACGGGGGCCCGCACAAGCGGUGGAGCAUGUGGUUUAAUUCGAUGCAACGCGAAGAACCUUACCUGGCCUUGACAUACAGAGAACUUUCCAGAGAUGGAUUGGUGCCUUCGGGAACUCUGAUACAGGUGCUGCAUGGCUGUCGUCAGCUCGUGUCGUGAGAUGUUGGGUUAAGUCCCGCAACGAGCGCAACCCUUUUCCUUAUUUGCCAGCACUUCGGGUGGGAACUUUAAGGAUACUGCCAGUGACAAACUGGAGGAAGGCGGGGACGACGUCAAGUCAUCAUGGCCCUUACGGCCAGGGCUACACACGUGCUACAAUGGUCGGUACAAAGGGUUGCUACACAGCGAUGUGAUGCUAAUCUCAAAAAGCCGAUCGUAGUCCGGAUUGGAGUCUGCAACUCGACUCCAUGAAGUC